rnacentral:rRNA from 1 species
CUCUCAACGAUGGAUGCCUCGGCUCGAGAAUCGAUGAAGGACGCAGCGAAGUGCGAUAAGCACUGCGAUUUGCAGAAUUCCGUGAACCAGUAGAAAUCUCAACGCAUGCUGCACAAAGGGGAUUUAUCCUCUUUGUACAUACAUAUCAGUGUCGCUC